rnacentral:rRNA from 1 species
CCUACGGGAGGCAGCAGUGAGGAAUAUUGGUCAAUGGGCGUAAGCCUGAACCAGCCAAGUCGCGUGAGGGAUGAAGGUUCUAUGGAUCGUAAACCUCUUUUAUAAGGGAAUAAAGUGUGGGACGUGUCCUAUUUUGUAUGUACCUUAUGAAUAAGGAUCGGCUAACUCCGUGCCAGCAGCCGCGGUAAUACGGAGGAUCCGAGCGUUAUCCGGAUUUAUUGGGUUUAAAGGGUGCGUAGGCGGCCUUUUAAGUCAGCGGUGAAAGUCUGUGGCUCAACCAUAGAAUUGCCGUUGAAACUGGGGGGCUUGAGGAUAUUUGAGGCAGGAGGAAUGCGGGGGGUAGCGGGGAAAUGCUUAGAUAGCACGCAGAACCCAGAUUGCGAAGGCAGCCUGCCAAGCCGUGACUGACGCUGAUGCACGAAAGCGUGGGGAUCAAACAGGAUUAGAUACCCCAGUAGUC